GCCAGGUGUGGUGGUGCGCACCUGUAAUCCCAGCUACUUGGGAGGCUGAGACAGGAGAAUCACUUGAACCUGGGAGGUGGAGGUUGCAGUGAGCGGAGAUCGUGCCACUGCACUCCAGCCUGGGCGACAGAGCGAGACUCUGUCUCAA
ensembl:misc_RNA Metazoa_SRP Metazoan signal recognition particle RNA